rnacentral:rRNA from 1 species
UACAGAGGUCUCGAGCGUUAGGCGGAAUCACUGGGCGUAAAGGGUGCGUAGGCGGGUCUUUAAGUCAGGGGUGAAAUCCUGGAGCUCAACUCCAGAACUGCCUUUGAUACUGAAGAUCUUGAGUCCGGGAGAGGUGAGUGGAACUGCGAGUGUAGAGGUGAAAUUCGUAGAUAUUCGCAAGAACACCAGUGGCGAAGGCGGCUCACUGGCCCGGUACUGACGCUGAGGCA